rfam:Clostridium sp. CAG:492 genomic scaffold, scf165
GUUACAUUUUAAGCGCCAGAGCAAUAUUAUAUAUUGCUGACGAGGUUAGAGUUUAUCGAAAAUUCGGCGGAUGCUCUAUGGCAAGUGCUAGUCAUUAAAAUAUUUACAAAAAUCAAUAGUAAUAUUGAUUACAAAAUAAUAUUUAUAGCAUAAU